GCCUAUGGCCAUACCACCUGAACACGCCCGAUCUCGUCUGAUCUCGGAAGCUAAGCAGGGUCGGGCCUGGUUAGUACUUGGAUGGGAGACCGCCUGGGAAUACCAGGUGUUGUAGGCU
rnacentral:rRNA from 1 species